UACGUAGGUGGCAAGCGUUGUUCGGAAUUAUUGGGCGUAAAGGGUGCGUAGGCGGCGCGGUAAGUCGGGUGUGAAAUCUCGGAGCUUAACUCCGAAACUGCAUUCGAUACUGCCGUGCUUGAGGACUGGAGAGGAGACUGGAAUUUACGGUGUAGCGGUGAAAUGCGUAGAUAUCGUAAGGAAGACCAGUGGCGAAGGCGGGUCUCUGGACAGUUCCUGACGCUGAGGCACGAAGGCCAGGGGAGCAAACGGG
rnacentral:rRNA from 1 species